rnacentral:snoRNA from 1 species
UACUAUGAUGAUCCACAUCUUGAAUACUUAUCUACAUUGUCCAAGCUUCGGCGUUGACGAUAAAUACCUCUGACAUUCUGAUC